rnacentral:rRNA from 1 species
UGCAGUCGAGCGCACUCUUCGGAGUGAGCGGCGGACGGGUUAGUAACGCGUGGGAACGUACCCAGAUCUACGGAAUAGCCUCGGGAAACUGAGAGUAAUACCGUAUACGCCCUUCGGGGGAAAGAUUUAUCGGAUUUGGAUCGGCCCGCGUUAGAUUAGAUAGUUGGUGAGGUAACGGCUCACCAAGUCUACGAUCUAUAGCUGGUUUUAGAGGAUGAUCAGCAACACUGGGACUGAGACACGGCCCAGACUCCUACGGGAGGCAGCAGCGGGGAAUCUUGGACAAUGGGCGCAAGCCUGAUCCAGCCAUGCCGCGUGAGUGAUGAAGGCCUUAGGGUCGUAAAGCUCUUUCGCCAGAGAUGAUAAUGACAGUAUCUGGUAAAGAAACCCCGGCUAACUCCGUGCCAGCAGCCGCGGUAAUACGGAGGGGGUUAGCGUUGUUCGGAAUUACUGGGCGUAAAGCGCGCGUAGGCGGACCAGAAAGUUAGGGGUGAAAUCCCGGGGCUCAACCCCGGAACUGCCUCUAAAACUCCUGAUCUAGAGUUCGAGAGAGGUGAGUGGAAUUCCGAGUGUAGAGGUGAAAUUCGUAGAUAUUCGGAGGAACACCAGUGGCGAAGGCGGCUCACUG